AAAAACCAUCAUUACUUUUGACAAAAGUGUUGCACUUAGCAAAACCACUACUUCACUCAGUGCCACCGUUCGUAAGUCUCUCAUUUAAACUAUAACAUCUAUUAUUGAUCUAACUAUAUUCAAAACCAAGCUUGAGAUUUUGGUUGAAAAUGUUUUCAUUUGGUUAUGCCAGCUAGAACCGAUAUUACUAUAUAUUGCAUUGCUAAAUAAUGUUGAUAUCUAAUUAUACUUAUUUGCAUGCAUGCAGAGGUUGAAUCUGAGGGAUUCAUGGCGAAAUGGAUCGGAUUCCAGAACACUGCUGGUCCAUUAGGACACCAAGCGGUUGCAUUCCGUGUGAACGGAGACCGUGCAGUCAUAUUCAACUGUAGAUUUGACGCUUUCCAAGACACACUCUACGUCAACAACGGACGUCAGUUCUACAGGAACAUUGUUGUGUCCGGUACAGUCGAUUUCAUCUUCGGAAAGUCCGCGACCGUGAUCCAAAACUCUCUAAUCCUCAUCCGAAAGGGUAGCCAGGGACAGGCCCAUUACGUUACAGCCGACGGUAACGAGAAAGGUGCAGCAGUCAAGAUCGGUAUCGUUCUUCAGAACUGCCGUAUCAUGGCGGACAAAGACCUCGAAGCUGAAAAGCUAACCACCAAAUCGUACCUAGGACGGCCGUGGAAGAAAUUUUCCACCACCGUAAUUAUUGGAACUGAGAUUAGUGAUGUGAUUAAGCCAGAAGGAUGGUCCGAAUGGAAAGGAGAAGCUAACCACAAAACCGCUAAAUACAUUGAGUUCAAUAACCGUGGACCAGGAGCUAACACUGCUGCUAGGGUUCCUUGGGCCAAGAUCGCUAAGUCUGCGGCUGAGGUUGAAGGUUUCACCGUCGCUAAAUGGUUGACUCCGGUUAACUGGAUUCAAGAAGCCAACGUGCCUGUCCAGCUUGGAUUGUAAGAAAACAAACAAACAAAUAUUAACGAAUAAAACAGUAUGUGAUAAUGUAAAGAGGUAACGAUAUACGACCUCGUCUCUGGGGACCAGGGCUCUUUUUGAUAUUAUUAUACAAUAUAGGGGUUCUAGACAUUGUGGGAUGAAGUUUGUAUAAGAUUGCUUUUGUUUCACGUGCAAAAAAAAAAAAAAAACUAAUGUUGUUUCAGUUGUUUUACCCUUUUUAUCCUAAAUAAUGAAUUUCUUCUAACCAUUUUGUUGUGUGUAUAUAUAUCCCUAUCCUUUUUCUGUUACAAUAUGAACUAAAUAAUAUGAUUGAUAGAUAAAACUUCGUAAAAACAAACAAACCAAUAUAUUUAUCUACAAUUUAUGUGUAAACAUGUACUAGCUAGUUUUCUUCAAAAAAAUAUGUACUAGCUAGUUUGAUAAAAUAUAAACCAAAUACACAUCUAACGCCCGUUGAUAAAAAUAAUGUUUGAUGUGUUUCUUUUAAUUUUUGUUUGGUUUUCAAAUAGAUUUCGCUUCUGUUUUUAAUUUGGUUUCGAUGGGGAGCCAUAUAAUAUAACUCUCAGGUGCAAUAUAUCAGAAACUACCGGUUAGCAGUGACCAGAGGGGACAACUUAUAUGUCAGGAGGUGUAAUCUUACCUCUAUUCAACUCCAAUACAGGAAUCAGAAUCAAGACUUCUCCUGGAAGAGGAGGGUACGUUAGAAACGUUCAUGUAUCAAACGUGAAGCUAGAUAAUGUGCAGAAAGCUAUCAGGUGCACUGGUAAGUAUGGUGAACAUCAUGAGAUUUGAUCCUACAGCACGUCCGGCUAUAUAGAGAGUCACGUUUGAGAAUGUUGAUGGUGAAGGUAUUGGUGUUGCGGGUCUUAGUGAAUGUAUAGAAUUAGAUGAAUUUAAGAAUAUAUGUUCCUUAAUGUUACUAUAUUACGGUGAAGAAUAAUCCCUAAUAAAGAAGAACUCGAAGAAAGCUCCAUGGAGAUGCUCAAAUGUUAGAGACUAUUCACACCGUGUGAACGGAGACCGUGCAGUCAUAUUCAACUGUAGAUUUGACGCUUUCCAAGACACACUCUACGUCAACAACGGACGUCAGUUCUACAGGAACAUUGUUGUGUCCGGUACAGUCGAUUUCAUCUUUGGAAAGUCCGCGACCGUGAUCCAAAACUCUCUAAUCCUCAUCCGAAAGGGUAGCCAGGGACAGGCCCAUUACGUUACAGCCGACGGUAACGAGAAAGGUGCAGCAGUCAAGAUCGGUAUCGUUCUUCAGAACUGCCGUAUCAUGGCUGACAAAGACCUCGAAGCUGAAAAGCUAACCACCAAAUCGUACCUAGGACGGCCGUGGAAGAAAUUUUCCACCACCGUAAUUAUUGGAACUGAGAUUAGUGAUGUGAUUAAGCCAGAAGGAUGGUCCGAAUGGAAAGGAGAAGCUAACCACAAAACCGCUAAAUACAUUGAGUUCAAUAACCGUGGACCAGGA
rnacentral:lncRNA from 1 species